UACGGAGGGAGCUAGCGUUGUUCGGAAUUACUGGGCGUAAAGCGCACGUAGGCGGCUUUGUAAGUUAGAGGUGAAAGCCCGGGGCUCAACUCCGGAACUGCCUUUAAGACUGCAUCGCUUGAAUCCAGGAGAGGUGAGUGGAAUUCCGAGUGUAGAGGUGAAAUUCGUGGAUAUUCGCAAGAACACCAGUGGCGAAGGCGGCUCACUGGCCCGAUACUGACGCUGAGGCACGAAAGCGUGGGGAGCAAACAGG
rnacentral:rRNA from 1 species